rnacentral:rRNA from 1 species
AUUGAACGCUGGCGGCAGGCCUAACACAUGCAAGUCGAACGGCAACAGGAAACAGCUUGCUGUUUCGCUGACGAGUGGCGGACGGGUGAGUAAUGUCUGGGAAACUGCCUGAUGGAGGGGGAUAACUACUGGAAACGGUAGCUAAUACCGCAUAACGUCGCAAGACCAAAGAGGGGGACCUUCGGGCCUCUUGCCAUCGGAUGUGCCCAGAUGGGAUUAGCUAGUAGGUGGGGUAACGGCUCACCUAGGCGACGAUCCCUAGCUGGUCUGAGAGGAUGACCAGCCACACUGGAACUGAGACACGGUCCAGACUCCUACGGGAGGCAGCAGUGGGGAAUAUUGCACAAUGGGCGCAAGCCUGAUGCAGCCAUGCCGCGUGUAUGAAGAAGGCCUUCGGGUUGUAAAGUACUUUCAGCGGGGAGGAAGGGAGUAAAGUUAAUACCUUUACUCAUUGACGUUACCCGCAGAAGAAGCACCGGCUAACUCCGUG